rnacentral:rRNA from 1 species
CACCGCCCGUCACACUAUAGGAGCUAGCCAUGUUUGAAGUCAUUACCCUUAACCGUAAGGAGGGGGAUGCCUAAGGCUAGGCUUGCGACUGGAGUGAAGUCGUAACAAGGUAGCUGUACUGGAAGGUGCGGCUG